GGUUGCUAACUCAACGGUAGAGUACUCGGCUUUUAAG
rnacentral:tRNA from 1 species